GAGAGAGAGAGAGAGAGAGAGAGAGUGGUGGGGAGCGAGCGAGAGAGAGAGAGUCGUGCGCGCUGAGCCAUGAGCCAUUUUUGGGAAGCUCUUCGUGACAGUCGGUUGUGUCGUGAUCUUUGGAGAGGAGAAAAUUUACGCAUGGUGCGCAGCAUUUAUCCGAUCCACCGGCCGCAUUUCCAUUUACACUAUUCCCACCAUCACUAAAGGGCAUAGCCUGGUUGCUAAUAUUAGCACUUCCACUGGCCUGAAGAUUAAAGACCAUGAAAAAUCAAGUGGAAAAGCUACUUUAAGAAGUCAUAACAACGUAAAGCGAGGCCUUCCUGUCUGUACAGACCAAUCUGGUUUAACGGAUUCAGGGACCGUUAGGAAGAUGCAAAUGAACUUCCUCUAUUGAGUCAACUUAAUGGAAGAUUGACAGGUAACGAGAAGAACAAGCAUCCAUGAGCUGAAAUACUGGGAAAUGCCUUUUCUUGGAAGGAGCACCGCUUGAGGGUUUGAUGUUGGUAUGUCCAGAAAGUUUGCCAUGAAGUUGCAUGAUUGCUAUUUUGUAGUAAACAAACGUUUAGUCCUCUUUCUCUUUCUUUCUAUCUCUCUCUCUCUCUCUCUCUCUCUCAUGAUGACCUCUGCUGUUCCUUUGUAUCAUUUCUUGGUAAACCAAUUCAUUCUCCUUAAGUCAAAGGCAUCCUUAAAGGCUGUCUGAAAAAAUAUGCAUCAUAGAAACUAAUGGGGAUGUGGAAGCUUAAUGGUUAAAGUGACUACUGACUAGAAGGUUGUGAGUUCGAAUCCCAGGUUCACCAAGCUGCCACUGCUGGACCCUUAAGCAAGGCCCUUAACCCUCAAUUGCUUAAGUUGGCAUGGAAUACAGAUCAAAUGUAAGUCAAUCUGGUUAAGUGUGCAUGCCACAAAUGUAAGUAUGAAUAAUUUUGGAAGACUAAAAAAGUGUUCAAUUCUCCAUUGGGAGACCUGGACAAGCAGAGGGACUGAACACAAAAACAAAUGCUAAACUAUGACAUUUGAGAUGUGAACGUUAUUGUGUAUGUCAACAGCAUGCGUGUGGAUUUAAAAUCAAUUGCAUUGGACCUAAUUUAGGUAAGCGAUGUCGACUGGUUUCAUGUGUUCACUGGAAUUCAUGUGUGUCUUUGUAUUUCCAUUCAGAUGUUAAGAAAAAGAGACCUGGAGUGAUGCUGAUGCCUGCUUUGAGGUAAAGUAGAUUCAGAACAAAUGAUGUAGGAUUUCAGGCUUCAGAGCUCAUAAAGUUAUUAAGCUGAUAUGUACUAAUGUAUUUAUUGCAUAUUAAUUAAUAAUAUUGUGUCUCUUAAAUGAAAAUUCUCCAGCUGCAUUUAGCAUAAAUUUAGUUUAUUCAUUCAAGUUACUUUUCUUGUGUCCUUUUAUCAUUUCUUUAUAUUUUGGAAGUAAAGUGUCAGUCCCUUCAGGAAUCAUGCGAAAGCCAGGAUAUUUAGAGGAGCUUGCAUUUUUUUUUCUAAAUGGCCAAGGAUUUUCUGCAGAUAUGUUCCGAGACCUGUCAUGUGACAUCAUCACAACACACACCUUCAGCCAAAUCCCUCUUCUAUUCAUACGGUAUGUCUGGAAGAUGAGUGACACACACAUGUAAUGACUUUCUAUGAGAGCUGCAGAUGGUUGGAUAGAUGGAUGGAUGGAUGGAUGGAUGGAUGGAUGGAUGGAUGGAUGGAUGGAUGGAUGGAUAGAUAGAUAGAUAGAUAGAUAGAUAGAUAGAUAGAUAGAUAGAUAGAUAGAUAGACUUUAUUGAUCCCAUGAGGGAAAUUCUUGGGGACAGACAGACAGACAGACAGACAGACAGAUAGAUAGAUAGAUAGAUAGAUAGAUAGAUAGAUAGAUACUUUAUUGAUCCCAUGAGGGAAAUUCUUGGAGAGAGAGAGACAGACAGACAGACAGACAGACAGACAGACAGACAGAUAGAUAGAUAGAUAGAUAGAUAGAUAGAUAGAUAGAUAGAUAGAUAGAUACUUUAUUGAUCCCAUGAGGGAAAUUCUUGGAGAGAGAGAGACAGACAGACAGACAGACAGACAGAUAGAUAGAUAGAUAGAUAGAUAGAUAGAUAGAUAGAUAGAUAGAUAGAUAGAUAGAUACUUUAUUGAUCCCAUGAGGGAAAUUCUUGGAGACAGACAGACAGACAGACAGACAGACAGACAGACAGAUAGAUAGAUAGAUAGAUAGAUAGAUAGAUAGAUAGAUAGAUAGAUAGAUAGAUAGAUAGAUAGAUAGAUAGAUAGAUAGAAUUCCUGUUCAAGAUUCAAGAUUGUGUUUAAACACAAUGUCAUGUCCGUGAUUAUCUCUCUGUUCAA